rnacentral:rRNA from 1 species
ACCAGACUUCCUACGGGAGGCAGCAGUGGGGAAUAUUGCACAAUGGGGGAAACCCUGAUGCAGCAACGCCGCGUGAGUGAAGAAGUAUUUCGGUAUGUAAAGCUCUAUCAGCAGGAAAGAAAAUGACGGUACCUGACUAAGAAGCCCCGGCUAACUACGUGCCAGCAGCCGCGGUAAUACGUAGGGGGCAAGCGUUAUCCGGAUUUACUGGGUGUAAAGGGAGCGUAGACGGCAGUGCAAGUCCGGAGUGAAAGCCCGGGGCUCAACCCUGGGACUGCUCUGGAAACUGUAAGGCUGGAGUGCGGGAGGGGCAGGCGGAAUUCCUGGUGUAGCGGUGAAAUGCGUAGAUAUCAGGAGGAACACCGGCGGCGAAGGCGGCCUGCUGGACCGUAACUGACGUUGAGGCUCGAAAGCGUGGGGAGCAAACAGGAUUAGAUACCCCAGUACC